GAUGAACGCUGGCGGCGUGCCUAAUACAUGCAAGUCGAGCGAACGGACGAGAAGCUUGCUUCUCUGAUGUUAGCGGCGGACGGGUGAGAAACACGUGGAUAACCUACCUAUAAGACUGGGAUAACUUCGGGAAACCGGAGCUAAUACCGGAUAAUAUUUUGAACCGCAUGGUUCAAAAGUGAAAGACGGUCUUGCUGUCACUUAUAGAUGGAUCCGCGCUGCAUUAGCUAGUUGGUAAGGUAACGGCUUACCAAGGCAACGAUGCAUAGCCGACCUGAGAGGGUGAUCGGCCACCCUGGAACUGAGACACGGUCCAGACUCCUACGGGAGGCAGCAGUAGGGAAUCUUCCGCAAUGGGCGAAAGCCUGACGGAGCAACGCCGCGUGAGUGAUGAAGGUCUUCGGAUCGUAAAACUCUGUUAUUAGGGAAGAACAUAUGUGUAAGUAACUGUGCACAUCUUGACGGUACCUAAUCAGAAAGCCACGGCUAACUACGUG
rnacentral:rRNA from 1 species